UACGGAGGAUGCAAGCGUUAUCCGGAAUGAUUGGGCGUAAAGCGUCCGCAGGUGGCUAUGUAAGUCUGCUGUUAAAGAGUGAGGCUCAACCUCAUAAGAGCAGUGGAAACUACAUGGCUAGAGUGCGUUCGGGGCAGAGGGAAUUCCUGGUGUAGCGGUGAAAUGCGUAGAGAUCAGGAGGAACACCCAUGGCGAAGGCAGCACUCUGGACCGGACCUGACGCUGAGACGCGAAAGCGUGGGGAGCGAACGGG
rnacentral:rRNA from 1 species